rnacentral:rRNA from 1 species
GAGGGGCCCGCGUUCGAUUAGGUAGUUGGUGAGGUAAUGGCUCACCAAGCCUACGAUCGAUAGCUGGUCUGAGAGGAUGAUCAGCCACACUGGGACUGAGAUACGGCCCAGACUCCUACGGGAGGCAGCAGUGGGGAAUAUUGGACAAUGGGGGCAACCCUGAUCCAGCAAUGCCGCGUGAGUGAUGAAGGCCUUCGGGUUGUAAAGCUCUUUUGCCAGGGACGAUGAUGACGGUACCUGGAGAAUAAGCCCCGGCUAACUUCGUGCCAGCAGCCGCGGUAAUACGAAGGGGGCAAGCGUUGUUCGGAAUUACUGGGCGUAAAGGGCGCGUAGGCGGCUUAUCAAGUCAGGCGUGAAAUUCCCGGGCUCAACCUGGGGGCUGCGUUUGAUACUGAUGAGCUUGAAUGCGGGAGAGGAUAGUGGAAUUCCCAGUGUAGAGGUGAAAUUCGUAGAUAUUGGGAAG